UACGGGGGGGGCAAGCGUUGUUCGGAAUUACUGGGCGUAAAGGGCUCGUAGGCGGCCAACUAAGUCAGACGUGAAAUCCCUCGGCUUAACCGGGGAACUGCGUCUGAUACUGGAUGGCUCGAAUCCGGGAGAGGGAUGCGGAAUUCCAGGUGUAGCGGUGAAAUGCGUAGAUAUCUGGAGGAACACCGGUGGCGAAGGCGGCAUCCUGGACCGGCAUUGACGCUGAUGAGCGAAAGCCAGGGGAGCAAACGGG
rnacentral:rRNA from 1 species